rnacentral:rRNA from 1 species
UUGGAGGGCAAGUCUGGUGCCAGCAGCCGCGGUAAUUCCAGCUCCAAUAGCGUAUAUUAAAGUUGUUGCAGUUAAAAAGCUCGUAGUUGAAUUUCGGGGUUCAUACGUUGGUCGGGCUUUUUGGUCUGUACUAGCGUAAUGGAUUCCUACCUUCUGAAUAACCGGCAUGUCAUUAAUUUGGUGCGCCGGGGAAGCAGGACUGUUACCUUGAAAAAAUUAGAGUGCUUAAAGCAGGCUAUCGCCUGAAUACAUUAGCAUGGAAUAAUGAAAUAGGACGGCAUGGUUCUAUUUUGUUGGUGUCUAGGAUCACCGUAAUGAUUAAUAGGGAUAGUUGGGGGCAUUAGUAUUCAAUUGACAGAGGUGAAAUUCUUGGAUUUAUUGAAGACUAACUUCUGCGAAAGCAUUUGCCAAGGAUGUUUUCAUUAAUCAAGAACGAAAGUUAGGGGAUCGAAGACGAUCAGAUACCGUCGUAGUCUUAACCAUAAACUAUGCCGACUAGGGAUCGGACGAUGUUAAUUUUUUAAUGACACGUUCGGCGCCUUACGGGAAAC